AGGUUGUGGGUUUUCUUUGGGAGUAACUCAAGAUCUUGCAUCUUUUGCAUCCCCUUUGGAGGGGUCCUUGGGGCUACUACUUCCAGAAAUUCUUACUGUGUGUCCCAGCUGAAAUCUGAGAAUAUUUUUAGGGGAAUUUACAGAUCAAACAGCUUGCCUGCCCAGCCCCCAAGGUGGGCUGUGUUAUUGUCUGUUUGCUAAAGAGUAAGUUAAGAAUCUUACAUUUUUUAUUUCCUGGGUAUUUAAAAUACAGUCCUUAAGAUGGAAUCCUUCCUGCCUUUCACUAUGUUGUUUACGGCUGGGCCUGCAUGCUAAAUUAGGUGCCUAGGUUAUAAACUACUUAAUUAGGGCCGGAAGGAGAAAAAAAACAA